rnacentral:rRNA from 1 species
AUUGAACGCUGGCGGCAGGCCUAACACAUGCAAGUCGAGCGGAUGAAGGGAGCUUGCUCCUGGAUUCAGCGGCGGACGGGUGAGUAAUGCCUAGGAAUCUGCCUGGUAGUGGGGGAUAACGUCCGGAAACGGGCGCUAAUACCGCAUACGUCCUGAGGGGGAAAGUGGGGGAUCUUCGGACCUCACGCUAUCAGAUGAGCCUAGGUCGGAUUAGCUAGUUGGUGGGGUAAAGGCCUACCAAGGCGACGAUCCGUAACUGGUCUGAGAGGAUGAUCAGUCACACUGGAACUGAGACACGGUCCAGACUCCUACGGGAGGCAGCAGUGGGGAAUAGUGGACAAUGGGCGAAAGCCUGAUCCAGCCAUGCCGCGUGUGUGAAGAAGGUCUUCGGAUUGUAAAGCACUUUAAGUUGGGAGGAAGGGCAGUAAGUUAAUACCUUGCUGUUUUGACGUUACCAACAGAAUAAGCACCGGCUAACUUCGUG